GAUGAAGAACGUAGCGAAAUGCGAUAAGUAAUGUGAAUUGCAGAAUUCAGUGAAUCAUCGAAUCUUUGAACGCACAUUGCGCCCCCCAGUAUUCUGGCGGGCAUGCCUGUUCGAGCGUCAUUUCAACCAUCAAGCCCUAGGCUUGCGUUGGAGCCCUGCGGCUGCCGCAGGCCCCUAAAAGCAGUGGCGGGCUCGCUAUCACACCGAGUGCAGUAGAUUACUCUUCGCUCAGGGCGUGUGGCGGGUUCCAGCCGUGAAACCCCCUACUUCUCAAGGUUGACCUCGGAUCAGGUAGGAAUACCCGCUGAACUUAAGCAUAUCAAUAAGCGGAGGA
rnacentral:misc_RNA from 1 species